AUUGAACGCUGGCGGCAUGCUUUACACAUGCAAGUCGAACGGUAACAGGGAGCUUGCUCCGCUGACGAGUGGCGAACGGGUGAGUAAUAUAUCGGAACGUACCCAAGAGUGGGGGAUAACGUAGCGAAAGUUACGCUAAUACCGCAUACGAUCCAAGGAUGAAAGCAGGGGAUCUUCGGACCUUGUGCUCCUGGAGCGGCCGAUAUCUGAUUAGCUAGUUGGUGAGGUAAAGGCUAACCAAGGCGACGAUCAGUAGCUGGUCUGAGAGGACGACCAGCCACACUGGAACUGAGACACGGUCCAGACUCCUACGGGAGGCAGCAGUGGGGAAUUUUGGACAAUGGGCGCAAGCCUGAUCCAGCAAUGCCGCGUGAGUGAAGAAGGCCUUCGGGUUGUAAAGCUCUUUUGUCGGGGAAGAAACGGGAGUGGCUAAUAUCCAUUCCUAAUGACGGUACCUGAAGAAUAAGCACCGGCUAACUACGUGCCAGCCGCCGCCGUAAUAC
rnacentral:rRNA from 1 species